AUCAUUACUGAAUUUGGUUGAUGCUCUAUGGAGAAAGCCAAAGUUAGGAGUUUUGUCUGUCAUUGAGGUAGAGACCCUCAACUAGGGAAGCUUUGAACUGUUCAUCCAGCUGGUAUUCUGUACCACCUUGCCUCUGGAGUUGAGCUUAGAACCCUACUUCCAUUUUUUCUGUCACUUCAGGGCUGUUUCAACUAUUGUUUCUUCAUUUACUUAUAUCAAGUGUGUUUUCUCAAUUCAUAAGCAUGGGAGACCCCAAGAGACAGAUAUCGCAUUAGUCCUUUUUUGUUUGUUUAGCAGGAAGGUUUUUAAGUAAAGCUCCUAAAUGAUAUGUCUCAUUCUCAUGGAAAUUCAUCAAUAUUGUUUUACUGUCUCCUAUCUGGUUACUUUUUAUUUUAGGUAACCACUGUGAUACAAUAUACACAAGUCCCUGGAUCAUGAAAAUAAAUUGAAGAGCUAAUGUUAAUAGUAAGUUCUCAACCAGGGGUUAUGCUGGAACCCAGGAUACAUAACCCACAGGAGGGCCCUCCGUGAACUCAGUUUUCAUGGAAUUGUCCCAUACCUUCACAGGUAGAAGCAUGGCUAUGUUAAAAGUGGCCAAUGAAAGUAUAGUUUCUUUAUGCCUUAUACUUUGUUUGGUGAGGAUUUCUGCCAGAGGUGUUUGUUUCCUUUAGUUUUCUGGUUGCUAUGAUUUUAUACAGCUUUGGUGACCUCUAUGAGUACCAGAUAAAGUUAGGUAUGAUAAAGGCACAAAAAGACCGUAGAAGCCAUUUGUAUUCUAAAUAUAAAUAUACAGACUAAAUUUGUAUGCAUUUGUGUCUUCAUUCUUCACGGUGCUGUAUCCUCCGUGUGUGUGUGUGUGUGUGUGUGUGUGUGUGUGUGUGUAUUUCUUCUUUGAUUCCAGGCUGCUUAUACGAAAAUGCUGAUUCAUAGUGUCACUGUCUUUUCUUUUUCCUGCGAAAUUCUAAAUCCGUUUCUAAACUUUUUCUACAACUCUGAGUUUAAUCUCUCUAAAGUUUUUUUUUUUCCCUCUUGCGGACACAAGGCACUUUGCUUUGUUUAUGCUAAUAAAUGUCAGACUAGCCCCCAAAAAUUAGAAGAAAUGCCAGUAAUUUCAAAGGGCUCUUGAGCAUGAUUUUUUUUCCUGUUUCUUAAUACAUUGUACUUUUCAGAGUUUAAGUUUAGGUGCAUGUAGGUGGUAUUAGAAGAUUCUUAGAUUUUAUUGGUAGCAUCCAGACAAUCUUGUCAUCACCCGAUAUAUAUCACCUCUAUGUGGUAGACCCUUGUGGAAAUUUUCUCAUCACGAAAGUCGAAAGUUUAAUUUUGGAGAGGAAGAGGUUUUUCAGAUACAUUAAAUAGGUUUUGCUACAAUAAGAUUCUAGCAGGGAGUACUGCUGGCUUUUAUGUAAGAAGUCAACUUUAAAAGUGUUUUUGUGUGCGUGUGGUGUGGGUGCAGCAGCAAUAUUGUGUAUUCCUUUCAAAUCAAGAUGCCUCAUAGUCUGUGGGCGGGGGAACUCCCUAAGAUGCCCUCACUAGUUACUCAUUCAUUUGUUCCUCCCCAGAAAGGGAAAACCCAAUGCUCCACACUCCACUUAUUCUGAAUAAUGGGGGCGGGGAGGUGGUGGCGUGAGGAUGUCAGUGUCAUUGGGCAAAAGCCUUCAUUUUUAAAGUUUAGCAAAAUGCAGUUUUAUUGCUUUAUGAUCAGUGUGUAUUACAAGCUAAUAUACAAAUGGCAUUAGUGAUCAAAGUGGGAUACUGAUGUGGCAAAAAUUUACAAUACACUUAACAGAUUGACCUGACAUAACAGUGAAAGCAUUUGAAUUCCUUCCCACAUAGAAGCAAUCCAAUAAGGAACUUGGUCUCCCAUAAAGAAUCCAAUAAAGAAAACUUUAAAAUGAGAGGAGGGUUAUGGAUUUGAUCAUCUCCAAG
rnacentral:lncRNA from 1 species